GUGCUCACUGCAGCAGCAUGUGUACUAAAACUGAGACAAUACAGAUAAGAUUAGCAUGGCCUCUGAAAAAUGAUGACAUGCAAUGUAAUCCCUAUUAAA
rnacentral:snRNA from 1 species